rnacentral:tRNA from 1 species
GGGUAUAGCUCAGUUGGUAGAGCACCGGUCUCCAAAACCGGGUGUCGGGGGUUCGAGUCCCUCUGCCC